AUCAAUCUAGUUAAAAUAUAACAUAAGAAUGUCAAACUUAAAUUAUUAUAUAAUGAUUUAAA
rnacentral:tRNA from 1 species